AAUCGCUGUGAUGACUCUGUAAAAGUUCAAGCUCAACAGACCGUAUCGUCAGGGGUUUCUCUACUUUGAGAGCCUUUGCAUGUCGAUUCUACUUCUAACACUGAGCGAUC